rnacentral:rRNA from 1 species
AACGAACGCUGGCGGCAUGCCUAACACAUGCAAGUCGAACGAGACCUUCGGGUCUAGUGGCGCACGGGUGCGUAACGCGUGGGAACCUGCCCUUAGGUUCGGAAUAACUCCCCGAAAGGGGUGCUAAUACCGGAUAAUGUCUUCGGACCAAAGAUUUAUCGCCUUUGGAUGGGCCCGCGUUGGAUUAGCUAGUUGGUAGGGUAAAAGCCUACCAAGGCGACGAUCCAUAGCUGGUCUGAGAGGAUGAUCAGCCACACUGGGACUGAGACACGGCCCAGACUCCUACGGGAGGCAGCAGUGGGGAAUAUGGGACAAUGGGCGAAAGCCGGAUCCAGCAAUGCCGCGUGAGUGAUGAAGGCCUUAGGGUUGUAAAGCUCUUUUACCCGGGAUGAUAAUGACAGUACCGGGAGAAUAAGCUCCGGCUAACUCCGU